GUCCACCAGAAAGUCAGACACCAUGAUGGUGCCCUGGCGUCUGAUGCCCGCGUUGGGGUCAAACCAGGCGACCUCUUAAUGAAUUCAAGGAGUGAAGCCCUGGUCCCAUCCUUACCAGAAGGCCUGGUCCAGAGGUCCAGUCUCCUAUCGCUCCCUGCAGUCCCACCCCUGGUAGCACCUGGCCGUGCACCACUGUGAGACCAGCGCCUGGCAGGGUUCACCUCAUCCAGGUCAAGUACUGGAAGUGCUUCGUUGUGCGCGGUGGCUCCUCCUGGGUGGGGCAGGUCUGGUUUGGAGAAUGUGAGCCGCAGCUCCCAGUGCCCCACAGCUCUGUGUCCCGGAGGAGGAGCUGCUUCCUUGACCAGUUAAGAGGCAAGCCUGGACCUCACAGUACAGGUAGGACUCCGGGCUCCUACCCGCUCUUGCUCCACCUGUCUGAUGGUCAUGACAGUGACUUGUGUGUUCUCUUGGUACAUCCUGCCCCAGAAGGCAGCUGCCGUGGUCUGCAGGGACCCCUGUGUAGCAAUGUACACUUUGCCCACUCCCAAGUCUGAUUUCUCCUCUGGGUCACUCUGAAAGGGGGUGGAUGUCAAAAUUAAAGCUGAGAGGACAGAUCUAAGUUUAUGCAAGUGUGCAAAAGAGCCUAGGUAGUCCGUGGUUCCUCACACUUAAGGCCAGGGGAGGGCUGAGGAGUCACACUCAGUCCAGCUUGCUCUGAAGACCCUGCUGGCAGGCUUUCAGCCCUGCCAGGGUCCACGCUUUGCUCUCCACCCCUGGGACCUGGCUCUCUGGGACCUCCCAGCAUGGUCUCUGGUGCCUAAGAUGGAGCCCGGAUGACUGGAGGGGGCAGAUACAGGUCAGGAUCUCCGGUGCGAUCCAGAUGGGCCUGGAGGGCAGGAUGUCACGCACACCUACUGCUCCCUCACACACCCACCUGAUGCAGUUAGCAUCGAUGGAGUCGGCUUCAGGCAGGCUGGUGUCCACGUCAGGCAGGGUGACAUGGGUGGUACCAACUGGGAAGGGAAAGAGACCAUCCAGGUCCCUG
rnacentral:lncRNA from 1 species